rnacentral:rRNA from 1 species
AUCUUCCACAAUGGGCGAAAGCCUGAUGGAGCAACGCCGCGUGAGUGAAGAAGGUUUUCGGAUCGUAAAACUACGUUGUAAGGGAAGAAAAAGUACAGUAGUAAAGGGCUGUACCUUGACGGUACCUUAUUAGAAAGCCACGGCUAAAUACGUGCCAGUAGCCGCGGUAAUCCGGAGGUGGCAAGCGUUGUCCGGAAUUAUUGGUCGUAAAGCGAGCGCAGGCGGUCCUUUAAGUCUGAUGUGAAAGCACACGGCUCACCCGUGGAGGGUCAUUGGAAACUGGGGGACUUGAGUGCAGAAGAGGAAAGUGGAAUGCCAAGUGUAGCGGUGAAAUGCGUAGAGAUUUGGAGGAACACCAGUGGCGAAGGCGACUUUCUGGUCUGUAACUGACGCUGAGGCGCAAAAGCGUGGGGAGCAAACAGG